CUCUGAGGUCCGGGUUCCAAAGUCCCCAGUCGCACACCCGGACUCAGAUUCUCCCCAGACGCCGAGGAUGCGGUCAUGGAGCCCCGAACCCUCCUCCUGCUGCUCUCGGGGGCCCUGGUCCUGACCGAGACCUGGGCGGGCUUCCACUCCUUGAGAUAUUUCGACACUUCCGUGUCCCGGCCCGGCCGCGGGGAGCCCCGUUUCAUCACCGUGGGCUACGUGGACGACACGCAGUUCGUGCGGUUCGACAGCGACGCCGCGAGUCCGAGAGAGGAGCCCCGGGCGCCAUGGGUUGAGCAGGAGGGGCCGGAGUAUUGGGACCUGCAGACACAGAUCUCCAAGGCCACCGCACAGACUCAGAGAUCGAACCUGCAAACCUUGCGCGGCUACUACAACCAGAGCGAGGCAGGGUCUCACACCUACCAGAGGAUGUACGGCUGCGACCUGGGGCCGGACGGGCGCCUCCUCCGCGGGUAUAACCAGUUCGCCUACGACGGCGAGGACUACAUCGCCCUGAACGAGGACCUGCGCUCCUGGACCGCCGCGGACACGGCGGCUCAGAUCACCCAGCGCAAGUGGGAGGCGGCCAGUGAGGCUGAGAGGAUGAGAGCCCACCUGGAGGGCGAGUGUGUGGAGUGGCUCCGCAGACACCUGGAGAACGGGAAGGAGACGCUGCAGCGCGCUGAGCCCCCCAAGACGCACGUGACCCACCACCCCGUCUCUGACCAUGAGGCCACCCUGAGGUGCUGGGCCCUGGGCUUCUACCCUGCGGAGAUCACACUGACCUGGCAGCGGCAUGGGGAGGACCAGACCCAAGACAUGGAGCUUGUGGAGACCAGGCCCGCAGGGGAUGGAAACUUCCAGAAGUGGGCAGCUGUGGUGGUGCCUUCUGGAGAGGAGCAGAGAUACACAUGCCAUGUGCAGCACGAGGGGCUGCCCGAGACCCUCACCCUGAGAUGGGAGCUGUCUUCCCAGCCCACCAUCCCCAUUGUGGGCAUCAUUGUUGGCCUGGCUGUCCUUGGAGCUGUAGUCACUGGAGCUGCUUUGAUGUGGUGGAAGAAGAGCUCAGGUGAGGAAGGGGUGAGGAGUGGGGUCUGAGAUUUCUUGUCCCACUGAGGGUUCCAAGCCCCAGGUAGAAGUGUGUCCUGCCUGGUUAUUGAGAAGCAUCAUCCACACUCAUGAGCUGACCCAGCCUGGGCCAUGUGCCAGCACUUACUUAUGUAAAACACCUGUGACAAUGAAGGACAAAUGCAUCACCUUGAUGACUGUCGCGAUGGAGACCUAAUCUCAGCAGUCACAG